rnacentral:rRNA from 1 species
UACGUAGGGUGCAGGCGUUAAUCGGAAUUACUGGGCGUAAAGCGUGCGCAGGCGGUUUCUUAAGUCAGAUGUGAAAGCCCCGGGCUUAACCUGGGAACUGCGUUUGAAACUGGGAGACUUGAGUGUGGCAGAGGGGGGUGGAAUUCCACGUGUAGUAGUGAAAUGCGUAGAUAUGUGGAGGAACACCAAUGGCGAAGGCAGCCCCCUGGGUCAACACUGACGCUCAUGCACGAAAGCGUGGGGAGCAAACAGG